rnacentral:rRNA from 1 species
GAUGAACGCUGGCGGCGUGCCUAAUACAUGCAAGUCGAACGAAGAUCUAGCUUGCUAGAUCUUAGUGGCGAACGGGUGAGUAAUACAUAAAUAAUCUGCCCAUAUGACUGGGAUAACUAUUGGAAACGAUAGCUAAUACCGGAUAGGUUGAUCGGAGGCAUCUCUGAUGAAUUAAAGUAGGAUUUCUACACAAAUGGAUGAGUUUAUGGCGCAUUAGUUAGUUGGUGGGGUAACGGCCUACCGAGACGAUGAUGCGUAGCCGACCGGAGAGGGUGACCGGCCACACUGGGACUGAGACACGGCCCAGACUCCUACGGGAGGCAGCGGUAGGGAAUUUUCGGCAAUGGGCGCAAGCCUGACCGAGCAACGCCGCGUGAGUGAUUAAGGCCUUCGGGUUGUAAAGCUCUGUUGUAAGGGAAGAACAUUCAGGAUAGGAAAUGAUCUUGAACUGACGGUACCUUACCAGAAAGCCACGGCUAACUACGUGCCAGCCGCCGCCGUAA